rnacentral:rRNA from 1 species
AGAACGAACGCUGGCGGCAUGCCUAAUACAUGCAAGUCGAACGAACACUUCGGUGUUAGUGGCGCACGGGUGCGUAACGCGUGGGAAUCUGCCCUUGGGUUCGGAAUAACAGUUGGAAACGACUGCUAAUACCGGAUGAUAUCGAAAGAUCAAAGAUUUAUCGCCCAGGGAUGAGCCCGCGUAGGAUUAGCUAGUUGGUGAGGUAAAGGCUCACCAAGGCGACGAUCCUUAGCUGGUCUGAGAGGAUGAUCAGCCACACUGGGACUGAGACACGGCCCAGACUCCUACGGGAGGCAGCAGUAGGGAAUAUUGGACAAUGGGCGCAAGCCUGAUCCAGCAAUGCCGCGUGAGUGAUGAAGGCCUUCGGGUUGUAAAGUCCCUUUU